rnacentral:rRNA from 1 species
GAUGAACGCUGGCGGCGUGCCUAAUACAUGCAAGUCGAGCGAACAGACGAGGAGCUUUCUCCUCUGACGUUAUCGGCGGACGGGUGAGUAACACGUGGAUAACCUACUUAUAACACUGUGAUAACUUCCGCAAACAGGAGUUAAUACCGCAUAAUAUAUUUAAUCUCUUGGUUCAAUAGUGAAGGACGGUUUUGCUUUCACUUAUGGAUGGAUUCGCGCCGUAUUAGCUAGUUGGUAAGGUAAUGGCCUACCAAGGCAACGAUGACUAGCCGACCUGAGAGGGGGAUGGGCGACAAUGGAACGAAGGAACGGCCGCGACUCCUCCGGGAGGAGGCAGUAGGGAAUAGUACGGAAUGGGGGAAGGCCUGCGGGUGCAGCGCCGCGUGAGGAAGGAAGGUCUCCGGAUCGUAAAACUCUGUUAUCGGGAAAGAAGAAAUGUGUAAGUAACUAUGGACGGCUUGACGGUACCUAAACAGAAAGCCACGGCUAACUACGUG